GCCUGGCUGGUUCAGUUGGAAAAGCAUGUGACUCUGGGUCUCAGGGCUGUGGGUUCGAGCCCCAUGUUGGGUG
rnacentral:tRNA from 1 species